rnacentral:tRNA from 2 species
GGGCCUUUAGCUCAGUUGGUUAGAGCGACCGGCUCAUAACCGGUUGGUCCGCGGUUCGAGUCCGUGAAGGCCCACCA